CGGCGGGCGGGGCGUGGCGCCUUUCCCGUGGUGCCGCGGGAGCGGCGGCCGCAGCGGCCGCGAUUUCGUCCGGGUCCCGCAAGUACCGGGACGGCGGGGCCGGGCGGCGGCCGGGGGACGCGGGAGCGGCCGCGGGGUCGGAGCGCGCCGGGGGGAGGGUGGAGGCGGAGGGACUGAGCCGAGGGGCCCGUACGGGCGGGUGCGGGGCCUCGGCCCGGCCUCUCCGCCGCCUUUGCCGCGGGCCCGGUUCAUUGUCCUUAUUCCCCUCAUCCAUGCCUUUUUCCCCUCGUUCUCCCCCGCUCUCCUCCAGGCUCACUGGAAGGUCCGGAAGUGCCGCCCCCGGGAGCCGUCGGCGCCAGGGCUUUAUUAUAACACCAGGACCUUUUGGGCUCCAGCCUGCAAACCUCUGCAGCAUUGGGACAUGGAGAGAAAGCACAAGCCCUGGCAAAACCUGUGUUCCCACUGGAUUGCCAUGACUCAGUGAACGCCAUUGUGUUGCAGAAAUUCUGAAAUGGAGCCAAGAAAUUCCAAGAUUACCUUCUUAAAAUAAAAAUACCCACUAAACUGCUUGUCCUUCA
rnacentral:lncRNA from 1 species